GUGCUCAUUUCAACAGUACAUAUACUAAAAUUGGAACAAUUCAAAGAAAAUUAGCAUGGUCCCUGAGCAAGGAUGACAUGCGAAUUUGGGAAGUGUUCCAUAUACAU